rnacentral:rRNA from 1 species
AUGCGUGGCAUCCGUCUCUGGGGUGUUCUUUCUGGCGAGGUCUGCUGUCCGCCACGUCCGGUUCCUCCGGUGGCCCCUACUCCGCCGACUCCACUGGUUCUUCCUACGGAUGCUAAUCAGGCCGCCAAGGAUGCGGCUAAGAUUGCUGAUGAGGCUGCUGAUCGUGCCUAUGAUGAGAGGGCUUUGGCUUAUGAGGAGGCUCUUCAAACGUAUCAUGGUGCUUUGUCUGUUUACACUCAGUGGCUUGAUGAUGAUGCUCGUGCUGCAGCUGUUCUCACUGCUAGUGUUCUGCCUCAGUUUGCUUCUGAGUUUCUGGGUCUUCCUACUGUCUUCCAGAUUUGGACCUGCCUUCGUCAGCGCUAUGAGCCCUCUGGUGAUGCCUUAUAUCUUUCUGUGGUUCGUCAGGAGCAUGCUCUUCAGCAGGGUGACUCUACUGUUGAUGACUAUGCACAAAAUUCUGCUAUCUGGCGCCAGCUUGAUUCUCUCCGAUGUGCUGGUUGUCGUACUUGCCCCUGCUGCCAGGCUGUCCAGGCCGAUUUGGAGUUUCAUCGCGUCUACGAGUUCCUGUCUCGGCUCCGUAAGGAGUUUGAGCCCCGGCGUGCUUAGUUGUUUGCUCGUGGCCGUAUUUCUCUCAUGGAGGCGCUUUCAGAGAUUCGUGCUGAGGAGACUCGCCUACGUGGUGCUGGUUUGCUGGAGGUUCCCUCUGUGCUCGCUACUCGGGUUUCUUCCACUCCACCUGCUGCACCGCCCCAUUCUCGCUCGAGUGCUCCGCCGCUCUUGCCCACUCCUUCUGGAGGCUCAGGUCGGCCCCGUUCACAUUGUGACUACUUCAACAAUGAUGGUCAUAUUGAGUCCCAGUGCUACACAAAGCGGAAACACCUGCGCAAGGCGCGAUCAUCCUCCUCAGGGACUUCGUCA